rnacentral:rRNA from 1 species
UAGGGAAUCUUCGGCAAUGGGGGCAACCCUGACCGAGCAACGCCGCGUGAGUGAAGAAGGUUUUCGGAUCGUAAAGCUCUGUUGUAAGAGAAGAACGAGUGUGAGAGUGGAAAGUUCACACUGUGACGGUAACUUACCAGAAAGGGACGGCUAACUACGUGCCAGCAGCCGCGGUAAUACGUAGGUCCCGAGCGUUAUCCGGAUUUAUUGGGCGUAAAGCGAGCGCAGGCGGUUAGAUAAGUCUGAAGUUAAAGGCUGUGGCUUAACCAUAGUACGCUUUGGAAACUGUUUAACUUGAGUGCAGAAGGGGAGAGUGGAAUUCCAUGUGUAGCGGUGAAAUGCGUAGAUAUAUGGAGGAACACCGGUGGCGAAAGCGGCUCUCUGGUCUGUAACUGACGCUGAGGCUCGAAAGCGUGGGGAGCAAACAGGAUUAGAUACCCUGGUAGUCCACGCCGUAAACGAUGAGUGCUAGGUGUUGGGUCCUUUCCGGGACUCAGUGCCGCAGCUAACACAUUAAGCACUCCGCCUGGGGAGUACGACCGCAAGGUUG